ACUUUCAUCAUCAACUCACACACCUACUUAUUUCGUUUUGUUUCUUCUCUUUCCCUAUUUCUUCACAGUUUCUCAAUCCUAAUAAAAGAUGACCAGUAGAGAGGAAUUUCAUGGAGAGUUCGGAAGUAGUGUCAAAGCCCAAAGAAGACCUCCAAACCUGCUAUCCCCAAGGCUAUUAAUACAGCAGGCUAUUCUCCAUUUUUUUUUUAGAUUCCUGAUUAUGAAGAUGUCCUUUCACUACUUGGUGGAUUUAUUUACUUUUAAGUUUGCUAAUGACAAUAGUUUUUAUUAGCUUUUUUUUUUAUAAUUGUAUGGCCCUUAUGAAAAAGAUUGUUUAUACCAGGAAGGAAAACUGUGUGUCUUUCACUUUAUCUGGGUGAUUUGUUUUUUUUUUUCAUUCUUCAAUUGAUACUACUAUUUUUCUGUUAGAUUUUUUUUAAAAUGUUAAAUUAUAGACCAUGGAGGAUUGAGAGAUGGUAACUGAGGUUAGGCAAUGUAUGUUCAGUUUAUAGUUCAAAACAAUAUAUCUUUGAUACUAAAAAGUUUCUUUAUUUGUACUCAUCAAAUUUGCUGAAUUAUUUUCCAGAUGAAGCAUUCUUUGUCUAACGGAGUUGCAUGCGUCAAGGACCAGCGUAGGUGCUCAAUGCUACAGGGUAUGUCAGAAUAAGGCAGAUUUAAUUGAGCUGAGAAAUUUUGGUCAUGAAAGACACAUGAAUAGCUUCACCCUACAGCUGGCUUUGCAAACCCAAAAGGGUUUUCAAGAAAGAAUUUGUCAAAGAUGCUACUGGAAUUUUAACAGGGUCCAAUGGAGAGUAAGAGUUUGAAAAGAACGGAAAAAUUGAAAAGAGAGUCACUAUUGUGCUAGAUCAGGAGGGAUGGUUGGUGAUCUAAUGAAUGAUAUGUUUGACGGGAGACUCAACAGCCAAAAUGAGAAAGGAAGGGAUCUUCAAAGCUUCUUUAUAGUGGUGUAGGUUAUGGAAUAUUGUCAUCCCUGAUAUUACCCAAAACCAGUGUGUUUCAUGGAGGCAUUAAGCAGGAACUUGAAGAUUGAUAUUGCCACUUGAAGGUUUUCAAGCCCUGCAACUUAAGAUAGAUAAUCUUUGGAAAAUUGUUUGUCAAGGAACUUCAACUUAAAUUUACCAAAGAAUACUUGGCUUUGUUAAUGAUGCAGAGAAUUAUCUAAAACCUUUGGCUACUUCACCAAUGGUUGCACCAAAUUACUUUUACAUUAGAGGUCA